CUGCUCCCUAUCACACUUUCUACAGCUUCCCAGUCAUUAUGUUUAGAGAAAGACAGACCACUCUGUAUGACCGAUGGAACCAGCACGUUACAAACUGGAAAGAUGCUUGUCGUUCCAGAAGACACUGACAAGAAACAGUUGUUUCAGUUUUCAGAAACCUACUAGGCUGAACGCCCCGGGACGGGUCGUUUCAAGCUAGGGGCUCUGUAGUGGAGUGGAUAUCUUUUUAGAAAACACCGGCCACCCCGAUAUCCACGUGACCCUUCACCCUAGAUGGCACCUUGUGUCCGCGCAUGACAAGGCAGACCAACGUGGGCACUGUCCAUUCGACCGGCAUCUCUUAUCGCUGUAAUGUCCGUAUGUUACUGGACCUAAGUCGUCUCCACUCCCUUUUGUGCUUGGUUCUACACCAUGUGUUCACGUAUGGCUGCAGGUCUUUAAUGUAUAAUAAACAGUUUUGAAUCGC